GGGAGGGCCCUUGUGGGCGGAAUUGAGGUCACGGGGGCGUGGCCUCAACUGGGACAGCUGGACCAGCCCUUCCUGUUGCUCUGCUUCACGAGCGCCGCUGCCCUCUCCCCACCACGGCCUGUGCUGCCAGCCCCAGAGCAACAGGGCCAAGGACGGUGCAACCCUGAGGCAAAACAAGCCCUCCCUCCCGCUGAGCGGACGCUCUUAGGCUCCCUAACGAUGGAACCAUUGGCCUGGUGACCUUGCAAGCGUCUGACCUCCUCACGUCUGCCCAGGAAGCCACACAGGUCGGAUGUGAAAGCAAUUUGUUAGGGGUCGGAUCCUGUGUGGGAGAGUCACUGACCCCCUGUUCGCGGCUGUCAGGGCCGACCCAGCUGUUCCUCACCUCUCUGAGAUACUCCUGGGCCCUCACAGCAAUCCCAGAGUCCCUUCUCAGCCUGGGAUGUUCAACUGCCCCACCUGAGUGCACUUCCGCCACCAGGCCCUGGGACCAAGAGAAUCAGCCUCCGCGGAAGCAGUGGAGCAGGCGCAAGUCGAUCUGAACAGACGCACACUUUUCAGGACAUAGAUCAUGAAAGAGUCAAUAAAUCGAAACCUAUGACAAUGAAAAACUUUGCGUUGUCAAAGCUUCUAAAGAGGGCCGGGGAUUUAGCUCAGUGGUUCCACUGCCUGCCUCGAAAGCGCAAGGACCUGAGUUCGAUCCCUGGUACCAAAAGAGAAAAAUAGCUUCUAAAGAACACAGAGGCACACCACAGACAGGGAAAAGAGAUCUGCGAAACGCACAUCUGUGAAGAGCUUGUACUUAGAAUAUGUAUUUUUAAGAACGCAGACAAACUGAUAAUAAGUUAAUUGAAUUCUGAAAUGGGCAAGAGAUUUGAACAGAUACAUAAAUAAAGACAUAUUCACAGCCAGCAAGCUAUGCAAAGAAGCCCAGCACCGUCAGUCUUUAUGGCAGUGCAAACAGAAGCCACAGCAAGACCCUACUGCACUCCACAGGCAAGGCUGAGACGCUGGAAGUGAAGGGCUGAGAGCAAACGCAGGAACAGAUUUGGAGCAGUCGGACUGCCCACCUCACCCCAGAGGCCAGCGGGAGAACUGGUCCCUUUGCAAACAGGUGGGCAGUGUCUCACGUGGUCAUCCAGAGGACUGCACUGGGCCCCAGCUGUACAUGAGAAAUGGUAUCCUGUGCCUACACCAAACCUGUCCUCACGCCUCACAGUUAAGAGUUUGCAUUGAGACUCAGAGGAAACCUUGGACUUGGACUUUUCUGCAAUACCGGAACUGUUAAGACUUUGGCAACUCUUAGAGAUGGACUAAAUGCAUUCUGCAUAAUGAGAUGAACAUCAGUCUUUGGGGGUGAAAUACUAUGGUUUAGUUCUAAAAUCUUACCCAAAAGCCUCCUGGGUUGAGAGGUUGGGCCUUUGGCAGGUGAUAGGCUCAUGGGGCACUGUACUCCUCAGUGGAUUUAUCCAUUAAGGUGUGUUCAAAGCUGACUGUGCUGUGAGGAGCUGGGGCCUGGUUGGAGGUAGGUCACUAGCUGCAUGACAUACCUGGAAGGGUGUGCUCUUGGCCCUGACUCCUCUCUCUGCUUCCAGGCUGCCAUGGGUUGGCAGCUUCUCUCUGUCAUGUCCUUUCCACCAUGCCCUUUCCCAAUGAUCACAUUGACUGAAUCCUCUGAAACCAUGAGCUAAAGUAAACCCCUCCUCCUUUACAUUGCAGGUGUCAGGUAUUUUGUCCCAGCAACAGGAAGGUGACUCAUUCAGUACUUCAUAGCCACUGGGAAGAAUGCUGCUAAGAACAUGGGUGUACAGAUUGCUAUCCAAGUCUCUGCUUUCAGUUAUUCUGGGUAGAUAUCCAGGAGUGAGAUUGCUGGAUAACAUGCCAGAUAGGUUUGAUGUUUUGAGGGAUAGACAGCUGGGCUGAUUCCCACAGCGCACAUCGGACACUCCCACCAGUGGUGCUCAGUGUUCCUUCUAGUUCCCCGCAGCAUCACCAACACCCAUGGCUUCCUGGUUUUGAUGCCAGCCUUCCUGGUGGUGCCUGAGUCUUUGUGAUGUGACUUUGUGGUCUUGGCUUGCCUGCAGGUCUGGUGAAGUGGUCCAGGCUGGAGAUGUAGGUGUCCUGCCCUGCAGGUAGCUUUAUCUUGAAGGACUCUGGUUUCUUUUGGUGGGAAAUGAAAUUUUGGAACAUUGCUCAGCUCAUUACUCCUGCUUGGAUGGUGUGUCAGUCUCCUCAGUGGACAGAGGGGAGAACGCUGAUGAGCAAGCCAUGUCACAUGGAGCAGCUCCUGGAAGGGGCAGGCUCCAGAGGGAUGGGGGCACCACUCCAUGGGGAAGGUGCCAGCCAGGAGACAGCAUUGGCUGAAGAACUGAGGGACAAUGGCCUGAACUAGAGAGGAAAGUUCCAAACCAAGGCUACAAGAAGUGCAAGUUCCUAAAAAUAGGGAACUGGAGACCAAAGACCCCAUGCGUGCAGUGCCAUGAGCAAAGAGGAGAGUGACAGGAAACUGGCGGGAGGUGCUCUAGAGCCCAGGUGUCUUGUAGAUGAGUAGGGAAGGACGUUGCCUCAUGCCCUGGGUCUGUCGGGAGUCACUGGGUGUUUAGUGAUGGGGACACAAUCUUGCUUGUGGUGACUGUUAAUCAAAGUAUGUGGAUUAAGAACCACCUAGCAGAUUGGUGGAACACAGUUCUGGGCCGGUCUGCUGAUGACCGGCAAGGAGGCCAGCAAACUGAGGGCAGAAGAUCCACCCUGGAUAUGGGCAGCACCAAUCAAUAUACCCACAGUCUGGAAGGCAUAAAAAGGGAAAGAAGGGAGUGUGCCCGUUUUGAAGAGCUCCAGUCUUCCUGAGCAGGUCCAACUUUUACUGCCAUCACCCUUGGACCUCAGUCUCCAGGUCUCUGGCUUCUUCAGCCUGCAAUGCAGACUCAACCGGGCAACUCUCCAGGGAGCGCCCAGGCCCUCAGCCUUGGACUGCAGCUGCACCCUUGGUCCCUCUUGCUCUUCGGUUUCCCCUUCUUGGGCUGAGCAGCUGCUGGAUCCUUGGCCCUCCAGGGUGCAGAUGGCCACUGUGGAUGCUGCCUCUCACCCUGGAAGCUGAUCUAAUUAAUCCCCUCACAUAAUACUCACAUAUUCUCUCUCAGCUCUGCUCCUCUAGAGAACCCUAAAGAGCAGAGUUCCUCCACCACUCCGUGUGCGCCGUCUGUGGGGAGUGAGGCAGGAGGUGAGUCACCCUGCAGGGAGGACGCACUAAGGAGAUGCAUCAAAGCCAGGGUGGAUCCCCACAGCACCCCUGGCAGGCAGCUGCUGCCCUCCAGGUCACGGUAGGGACUGGGUCUAGGGGCUGGGGUGCAGGAGUGAAGAAGUACUCUGCCACAGCACACAUCUGCUGUGUCCUCUGUGGGAGAUCUCACUUCCGGCUCAAAACCAGUAGCCCCCUUACUGGGACUCAGUGUGCCCAGACACCUCCUGGGGUCACUGCACAUGACCUCUCUUUGUUCUUCCUAGGUCCUCAGGCGGAGACUUACUGGUUCUCUACAGAUUGGGGCACUGAGGCCCAGACAUGCUGCUCCAGGCUGGCUGCAGAGGAGGCAAUGGAAACAGCCUUGGCUCAAAAGUGGACACCGAAUUCGAAGUUUAAAAAGUAUCCAGGAUGGCCGCUGCUGUGGACGCAUAUGAGACAGGAGGAAGAAGCUGUACAGACUCGGGCUGGGUAAGCAGAGACUGGGAAGGCCUAGUGGACCACGGAGGACAGCAGGGCAGCCCCUGGGGAGGGAG